GACGAACGCUGGCGGCGUGCUUAACACAUGCAAGUCGAACGGAAAGGCCCUGCUUUUGUGGGGUGCUCGAGUGGCGAACGGGUGAGUAACACGUGAGUAACCUGCCCUUGACUUUGGGAUAACUUCAGGAAACUGGGGCUAAUACCGGAUAGGAGCUCCUGCUGCAUGGUGGGGGUUGGAAAGUUUCGGCGGUUGGGGAUGGACUCGCGGCUUAUCAGCUUGUUGGUGGGGUAGUGGCUUACCAAGGCUUUGACGGGUAGCCGGCCUGAGAGGGUGACCGGCCAAAUUGGGACUGAGGUACGGCCCAGAAUCAUACGGGAGGCAGUAGUGGGGAAUAUUGCACAAUGGGCGGAAGCCUGAAGCAGCAACGCCGCGUGCGGGAUGACGGCCUUCGGGUUGUAAACCGCUUUCGCCUGUGACGAAGCGUGAGUGACGGUAAUGGGUAAAGAAGCACCGGCUAACUACGUG
rnacentral:rRNA from 1 species